rnacentral:rRNA from 1 species
UUGGCGGACGGGUGAGUAACGCGUGGGGAACCUGCCCUGUACAGGGGGAGUAACACUUAGAAAUAGGUGCUAAUACCGCAUAAGCGCACAGUAUCGCAUGAUACAGUGUGAAAAACUACCGGUGGUACAGGAUGGACCCGCGUCUGAUUAGCUGGUUGGCGGGGUAACGGCCCACCAAGGCGACGAUCAGUAGCCGGCCUGAGAGGGUGAACGGCCACAUUGGGACUGAGACACGGCCCAAACUCCUACGGAAGGCAGCAG